UUGCUUUACACAUGCAAGUCGAACGGGGUGCGGGGGCACUUCGCAUUCAGUGGCGAACGGGUAUGCAUCGGAACGUGUCCAGUAGUGGGGGAUAACGCCGCGAAAGCGGCGCUAAUACCGCAUACGCUCUGUGGAGGAAAGCAGGGGACCCGCGAGGGCCUUGUGCUAGGGGGGCGGCCGAUGUCCGAUUAGCUGGUUGGUGGGGUAAAGGCCUACCAAGGCGACGAUCGGUAGCUGGUCUGAGAGGAUGAUCAGCCACACUGGGACUGAGACACGGCCCAGACUCCUACAGGAGGCAGCAGUGGGGAAUUUUGGACAAUGGGGGCAACCCUGAUCCAGCCAUGCCGCGUGCGGGAAGAAGGCCUUCGGGUUGUAAACCGCUUUUAGCCGGGACGAAAGCGCCACGGAUAACACCCGUGGUGGUUGACGGUACCGGCGGAAUAAGCACCGGCUAACUACGUGCCAGCAGCCGUGGAUAUACGUAGGGUGCGAGCGUUAAUCGGAAUC
rnacentral:rRNA from 1 species